rnacentral:misc_RNA from 1 species
GAUGAAGAACGUAGCGAAAUGCGAUAAGUAAUGUGAAUUGCAGAAUUCAGUGAAUCAUCGAAUCUUUGAACUCACAUUGCGCCCCUUGGUAUUCCGAGGGGCAUGCCUGUUCGAGCGUCAUUAUAACCCCUCAAGCUCAGCUUGGUGUUGGGGCCUGCUGCACUGGCAGCCCUUAAAAUCAGUGGCGGCGCCAUCUGGCUCUAAGCGUAGUAAUUCUUCUCGCUAUGGAGUCCUGGUGGAUGCUUGCCAUCAACCCCCAAUUUUUCUAUGGUUGACCUCGGAUCAGGUAGGGAUACCCGCUGAACUUAAGCAUAUCAAAAGCGGAGGA